rnacentral:rRNA from 1 species
UACGUAGGGCGCAAGCGUUGUCCGGAAUUAUUGGGCGUAAAGAGCUCGUAGGCGGUUUGUCGCGUCUGCUGUGAAAACUCGAGGCUCAACCUCGGGCUUGCAGUGGGUACGGGCAGACUAGAGUGCGGUAGGGGUGACUGGAAUUCCUGGUGUAGCGGUGGAAUGCGCAGAUAUCAGGAGGAACACCGAUGGCGAAGGCAGGUCACUGGGCCGCAACUGACGCUGAGGAGCGAAAGCAUGGGGGGCGAACAGG